rnacentral:rRNA from 1 species
CGCAGCUAACGCACUAAGUUGACCGCCUGGGGAGUACGGCCGCAAGGUUAAAACUCAAAUGAAUUGACGGGGGCCCGCACAAGCGGUGGAGCAUGUGGUUUAAUUCGACGCAACGCGAAGAACCUUACCUGGCCUUGACAUCCAGAGAACUUUCCAGAGAUGGAUUGGUGCCUUCGGGAACUCUGUGACAGGUGCUGCAUGGCCGUCGUCAGCUCGUGUCGUGAGAUGUUGGGUUAAGUCCCGUAACGAGCGCAACCCCUAUCCCUGGUUGCUAGCAGGUAAUGCUGAGAACUCCAGGGAGACUGCCGGUGACAAACCGGAGGAAGGUGGGGAUGACGUCAGGUCAUCAUGGCCCUUACGGCCAGGGCUACACACGUGCUACAAUGGUGCGUACAGAGGGCUGCAAACUCGCGAGAGUAAGCCAAUCCCUUAAAACGCAUCGUAGUCCGGAUCGGAGUCUGCAACUCGACUCCGUGAAGUCGGAAUCGCUAGUAAUCGCGAAUCAGAAUGUCGCGGUGAAUACGUUCCCGGGCCUUGUACACACCGCCCGUCACACCAUGGGAGUGGAUUGCACCAGAAGUGGUUAGUCUAACCUUCGGGAGGACGAUCACCACGGUGUGGUUCAUGACUGGGGUG